rnacentral:rRNA from 1 species
GUGCCUACGGGACGCAGCAGUGGGGAAUAUUGCACAAUGGGCGAAAGCCUGAUGCAGCAACGCCGCGUGAAGGAAGACGGUUUUCGGAUUGUAAACUUCUAUCGAUAGGGAAGAAAGAAAUGACGGUACCUAAAUAAGAAGCCCCGGCUAACUACGUGCCAGCAGCCGCGGUAAUACGUAGGGGGCAAGCGUUAUCCGGAUUUACUGGGUGUAAAGGGUGCGUAGGUGGCAGGGCAAGUCAGAUGUGAAAGCCCGGGGCUCAACCCCGGUACUGCAUUUGAAACUGUCCAGCUGGAGUGCAGGAG